GAUUUGAGGCUACUGCUGCCAGGCUAGCUAUGUGGCUGGCCAGACCAAGGGCCAGUGUGACUGUGAAGCAGCAUCAUGAGAGGGGUAAAACCAAGGAACAGACUGCAUGAGCCCUUGGGCCCCUUCCAGCUCUAAUACUCCAUGGUGAUGGCAGCCCUGCCCUUCUCUGAAGAUCUCAAAAUGCCUGACACCUGUGUCCUUCCGCACUGCCCUGGGAAGGAGAAUAAGGAUGUGGUGGACCUGGUUUCUGCAGACCUGGAGGAGGUAGCUCAGAAAUGUGGCUUGUCUUACAAGGCCCUGGUUGCCCUGAGGCGGGUGCUGCUGGCUCAGUUCUCAGCUUUCCCCGUGAAUGGCGCUGAUCUCUACGAGGAACUGAAGACCUCCACUGCCAUCCUGUCCACCGGCAUUGGCAGUCUUGAUAAACUGCUUGAUGCUGGUCUCUAUACUGGAGAAGUGACUGAAAUUGUAGGAGGCCCAGGUAGCGGCAAAACUCAGGUAUGUCUCUGUAUGGCAGCAAAUGUGGCCCAUGGCCUGCAGCAAAACGUCCUAUAUGUAGAUUCCAAUGGAGGGCUGACAGCUUCCCGCCUCCUCCAGCUGCUUCAGGCUAAAACCCAGGAUGAGGAGGAACAGGCAGAAGCUCUCCGGAGGAUCCAGGUGGUGCAUGCGUUUGACAUCUUCCAGAUGCUGGAUGUGCUGCAGGAGCUCCGAGGCACUGUGGCCCAGCAGGAUGGAAUUCCCGAGCACCUAAAUCACAUACCUCAUUGUUUACAUGUUCAUCUUCCCUGCUGAACAGUAAAGCCCCCUGAGUGGAAGGAUCAUGUCAUAUUUAUGUCUGCAUUCACCACUAGUUUCUAGGGGUUAAGAAUCUGAGACUAGGAGCGGUGGCUCACGCCUAAAAUCCCAAUGCUUUGGAAGGCCAAGGCAGGAGGAUCACUUGAGCCCAGGAGUUCAGGACCAGCCUGGGCAGCAUAGCAAGACCCUGUCUU
rnacentral:sRNA from 1 species